rnacentral:tRNA from 1 species
GCGCCGGUGGUGUAGCCUGGUAUCACUCUGGCCUUCCAAGCCAGCGACUCGGGUUCAAAUCCCGACCGGCGCACCA